AUGCAUCGCCUCGAAACCUUGCACUUGAACAGAAACACGCUGCAAGGAAGGAUACCGAGUUUUGCAAACUGCUCAAAGCUCAAGGAGUUGGAUGUUUCGGUUAACAAUCUAGUUGGCCAAUUUCCCGGUGAUUUGCCUCCUCAUCUUCACAUGCUGCAAGUUUCAUUUAAUAACCUUACUGGCAUCAUCCCAGCUUCUCUGGGUAAUAUCACAACACUAGUCUUCAUUAGUUGCGCGCAUAAUCGAAUCAAGGGAAAUAUCCCAAGUGAGUUUGCAGGUUUGCCAGGCUUGCAGUACCUGUAUGCGGGUGCAAAUCAGCUAACAAGUAGGUUUCCACAAGCCAUCUUGAAUGUUUCUACUCUCAUCGGCCUUGGCUUAACUCUCAAUGGUCUAAGUGGGGAGCUGCCACCAAAUCUUUGUACCUCUCUCGCCAAUCUCCGUAUACUUACAUUAGGUGGCAACUUAUUUCUAGGGCACAUUCCUAGUUCAUUCACUAAUGCUUCCAAUCUAAGUGUCAUUGAUUUAUCAACGAACAACUUCACCAGAUUGGUUCCCACCACGAUGAGCAAACUUACCAAACUCUCAAUGUUGAAUCUUGAAAAUAAUCAGCUCCAAGCACAUAGUGGAGAAGACUGGGAGUUUUUGGACAGCUUAGGCAACUGCACAGAGCGACAAAUAUUGUCCAUGAGUGUCAAUUGUCUAUCAGGGCAUGUACCAAGUUCAAUAGCUAACCUUUCCAACAAACUCCAGCAGACUCUGUACUUGGGAGAAAAUCAACUAUCAGGAAAUUUCCCUUCCGGCAUAGCCAACCUUCACAAUCUAGUUGCUGUGUCAGUGGGGGGGAAUCACUUCACAGGUAUCGUUCCAGAGUGGAUUGGGACUCUCAAAAAUUUGCAACAAGUAGAUUUAGCAGCAAACUUCUUUACGGGGGUCAUUCCAUCAUCCUUGUCAAACUUGUCUCAACUGGGACAGCUCUAUGUAGCCUCAAACCAAUUCAUUGGCCACAUACCGAAAAGCUUUGGUAACUUUCCAAGGCUUCAAUAUUUGGACACUGCUAGCAACAACCUUCAUGGUAGGGUUCCAAUGGAGAUAUUCAGAAUCCCGUCAAUAAUUGCAAUUGAUUUAUCUUUCAACAACCUGGAUGGACAACUUCCUACCAACAUUGGCAAUGCUAAACAACUCGUACAUUUGGUACUUUCAUCCAAUAAGCUAUCUGGAGAUAUUCCAAACACUCUGGGUGACUGUGGAAGUUUAGAAUACAUUGAGUUAGACUCGAAUAUUUUCAGCGGAAGCAUUCCCACUUCAUUAGGCAGCAUAAGAGGCCUAAAAGUUUUGAAUAUUUCUGCCAAUAACUUAACUGGUUCAAUACCAACAUCUCUUGGCAACCUACAAGUUCUUGAGAAACUAGAUUUGUCAUUCAACCACCUCAAUGGUGAGGUUCCAACAAAAGGGAUAUUCAAGAAUGCAACUGCCGUGCAAAUUGAUGGAAAUCAGGGGCUUUGUGGUGGGGUACCGGAGUUACACAUACUAGCAUGUUUUGUUAUGCCUCCAGAUUCAAUUAGGAACAAGAAAUCUUUGGUGCUAAAAGUGGUUAUCCCAAUAGCGAGUAUGGUGUCAAUUGUUAUUGUCAUAUUUUGCUUCUUUCUCCGGGGAGGGAAACACAAGAGAAAAUCUAUAUCUCUGCCAUCAUUUUCUACAAAAUUUCCCAUGGUUUCUUUCAAUGAUCUAGCCAGAGCAACACAGGGAUUCUCAGUAUCCAACUUAAUAGGCAGAGGGAGAUAUAGUUCUGUUUACCAAGGAAAACUAGUUGAAGAUGAAAAUGAGGUUGCCGUGAAAGUCUUCAACCUAGAGACAAGAGGAGCACAAAAGAGCUUCAUCUCAGAAUGUAACGCGUUGAGAAAUGUGCGGCACCGUAGUUUGGUCCCUAUAAUAACUGUGUGCUCAAGCAUUGAUUCUAGUGGUAAUGAUUUCAAGGCCCUAGUGUAUGAGCUCAUGCCGCGAGGGGAUUUGCAUAAACUACUAUACUCAACUCCAGACUAUGAAGGCUCUUCGGAUUUGAACCUUAUUACGAUUGGUCAAAGGAUAAGCAUCGUGGUGGAUGUAGCGGAUGCACUGGAGUACCUACACCAUAACAACCAAGAAGCACUGGUUCACUGUGAUCUGAAGCCUAGCAACAUUCUUUUGAAUGACAAUAUGACAGCUCAUGUUGGAGACUUUGGCUUGGCAAGAUUCAAAGUUGGUUCCACAACGUCAUCUCACGGUAACUCUUCUUCAAUUGCAGUGAUGGGAACAAUUGGAUACACUGCUCCGGAAUACGCAGAGGGUGGCCAAGUUUCAACUGCCGCAGAUGUUUACAGCUUCGGUGUCGUUCUUCUCGAGAUAUUCAUUCGAAGGAGGCCGACUGACGACAUGUUUAAGGAUGGACUCAGCAUUGUGAAGUUUACAGAGGCCAGCUUCCCUGAUAGGGUAUCGGUGAUUUUCGACCCCCAGCUGCUAAAAGAGUUGGAUGAAACUCCAAUAGCCUUCAAGGAAAAACAUGUACAUUGUCUGCUAUCUGUGCUAAAUGUUGGCCUUUGCUGCACUAAGACACCCCCAGGCGAACGCAUCAACAUGCAGGAGGUGGCUGCUAAGCUACAUGGAAUCAAGGAUGCAUAUCUCAGAAGCAGUGCCGUUGCUUCAGUGGCAGUACCUGAAUAA
rnacentral:rRNA from 1 species